GAGGAAUAUUGGUCAAUGGGCGAGAGCCUGAACCAGCCAAGUCGCGUGAAGGAUGACUGUCUUAUGGAUUGUAAACUUCUUUUAUACGGGAAUAACAAGAGUCACGUGUGGCUCCCUGCAUGUACCGUAUGAAUAAGCAUCGGCUAACUCCGUGCCAGCAGCCGCGGUAAUACGGAGGAUGCGAGCGUUAUCCGGAUUUAUUGGGUUUAAAGGGUGCGUAGGCGGCCUGUUAAGUCAGCGGUGAAAUCUAGGAGCUUAACUCCUAAAUUGCCAUUGAUACUGGCGGGCUUGAGUGUAGAUGAGGUAGGCGGAAUGCGUGGUGUAGCGGUGGAAUGCAUAGAUAUCACGCAGAACUCCGAUUGCGAAGGCAGCUUACUAAGGUACAACUGACGCUGAAGCACGAAAGCGUGGGUAUCAAACAGGAUUAGAUACCCUGGUAGUCCACGCAGUAAACGAUGAUAACUGGGCGUAUGCGAUAUACAGUAUGCUCCUAAGCGAAAGCGUCAAGUUAUCCACCUGGGGAGUACGCCGGCAACGGUG
rnacentral:rRNA from 1 species